rnacentral:rRNA from 1 species
UGAGGAAUAUUGGUCAAUGGACGCAAGUCUGAACCAGCCAAGUAGCGUGCAGGAUGACGGCCCUAUGGGUUGUAAACUUUUUUUAUAUGGGGAUAAAGUGGGGAACGUGUUCCCUUUUGCAGGUACCAUAUGAAUAAGGACCGGCUAAUUCCGUGCCAGCAGCCGCGGUAAUACGGAAGGUCCAGGCGUUAUCCGGAUUUAUUGGGUUUAAAGGGAGCGUAGGCUGUUUGUUAAGCGUGUUGUGAAAUGUAAGAGCUCAACUUUUAGAUUGCAGCGCGAACUGGCAGACUUGAGUGCGCACAACGUAGGCGGAAUUCAUGGUGUAGCGGUGAAAUGCUUAGAUAUCAUGACGAACUCCGAUUGCGAAGGCAGCUUACGGGGGCGCAACUGACGCUAAAGCUCGAAGGUGCGGGUAUCGAACAGG